UACAAAAGAUGCCACCAUACGUUUUCAACAGAGGAACCAAAUUCAGCUUCGUCCACCACCGCCUCUACUGCAAUCUCUUUUCAAGCCCCAAGAAUUAAUAUCUCCACCACACCAAGAACUCACCUCCUUUCUCCGACCUCCUCAACACCCAUCCCCGAUUGUCACUUGAGAUGCAGACCUGAAUCAUUUUCUGAGACAUCGAAUUCCUCUGCCAGUGGAACAUGCUUCAGCGUCCUAUGGCAUUCACGAAUCGAUUGUCCUUAGAACAUGCCCCCUCUCUGAUAAACACAUUAUUCAUUUGUGUAUUUUGAUUUCUUCCUGCUUUCAUCCAUGAUCCAUGUCUUCUUUUUUUAUUUUGAUUUUGAUUUUGGUUGCAGGUCUUCUCAAUGAUGGGAUGAUCACAAAGGGUUUGGUUGUUUCUCUACUUCUAAUUAGGCAGUCAAUGACCAUUUGAUGUCCAAAAUGGUAGUUUUUACAUUUUGACUCAACAUAGGAGAUCCUUUUAAUGAUUUUGUUGCAGGUUACAGGAAAUAAAGAUCAUGAUGUUGAAGGUUGCAAUUAGUUGCCACGUGCAUGUUUUUCUCCUCAUCUUUCUUAUUAUGGUUUGAAAAGGGUUUGGUUUUCUGCUUGGUGUGUCAUUGUACAAAUACACUGCUGAAAGUGGCCUAGUGCUUCCAAAUAAAUGUGGCACAGGGUUGGAGAAAAAUCUAACUAAGGCUGAGUUGUUGCAGAUGAGAAGAGAGAAAGAGAGUAUAUGAGGUUCACAGGAAAAUGGACCAAUCGGAACUUGAACACGACUUGGGUGGCUUGGAUGUGAUGUGGAAAUUGGUCAAAGAGGAGGAAACGAUACAAGGUUUUUGAUUCGGUAGUGAGUCUGCAUUUUUUCAUAGAAAGAUCCCUUUUUUUAAGCCAAACAACGUAAAUCAAUCUCAAUGAGUGAGAUGAAAUGUGUAUUGUGUCGUGAUUCUCUCCUCUCAUUUCAAAUCAUUAUCCUUCAUGAUUUUGUAUUUGUAGAAACACAGGAAGCUGUUAAUAUGCUAAUGUUAUCGAAACCAAUAUGUAUGGUGUAGGAUCUGGAGGAGCAGAUGCCUUGCUCUGUCCUUCGUUCACUUGGACCACUUCUCUUUCAGUUAUCCUAGCAACUGGCAAGUCAAACCCAAAUUCAUGAAAUUCAUGCUAUUUUUUUGUUUAAAAUUGAAGCCCAACUCAAACUAUGGAUUCCAUUUCUUUUUUGACAAAACUGCUGCAUGGAUUGAUGAGGUAAAGACAGAGGGAGAGAUAGAGAAAGAAAGAAGUUUUCCCUUCUAAGUGUAUUUUUUUGUCAACAUUUUGAAUUAUUAAUGAAAUUUUUGAAAUUGAGUGGUGAGUUGUCUGCACUUCUCUUGAGUACUUUUUUUUCUACAUUCCUGCACUGUUUAUGAAACCACAUUAUUUUUUAAGUUAGGAUUUGCAUAUUAUAUUCGAUGAUAAGAGAACAAUACAUUAUCUACUCGAGGUUGGAUAUGUUAGGAAAAUUUAUCUACUUUUAGCCCAAAGGUGGAAAAGCUAUGAUCAUAUUGGGAAUUUGAUUGAAUGAUGUGGGUGAAAUUGAAGUUCUGUGAAAAGGAUUUUCAUGGAUUUUGUUGUAAUUUUUUCAUCUGUGUUGUUCUGUGAUGGAUGCCUUGGCUGAUGGUAGUUUUUCUAGGAUCCUUGGAUUCAGUGACCUUAGGAACUUUUCUAUUAAGAUGUUUGUAUUUUUUACAAAUACACGAUGAGACUAUUGUUCAUGAUGGAAAAGAAAUGGAUAUUGUGGAAGAGGAAUUCAAGCAAGGCUGUGGUUUACUGAUAUGACUUAUGGUAUGUCUGUUGUUUGAUUAUCUACGAUGGGAAAUUUUUGCUCUCUUUGUUUGAUGUGGUCACUGCCAGUUUUUUUGUAUAAUAUUUCCAUUCCAGUUUUAUAGGAUUUCUAUUUCUUUUUUAUUUAUACAUUUCCUUUUUAAAAAUUCUGCUCUCUUUCUUUUUUAUUCACUGCCUGAUUAUGUUCUUUUCAUAUCAAGAAGGACAAAUUCAUGCUUCUGUGUUAGAAAGUCUUGGUAAAAAAGUUUGAAAGGAUUCUUAGAGAAGGAUCAGUUUAUUCCCUGCAAAUAUUACAAGUAAGAUAUAGUUAAAUUUUAGUUUUGUUCAACUUUUUAACCGUGUCAUUGUUUGCUACAUCAGAUCUUGAUAAAUUUAUGUUGUUUCCCAUCUCUUCCGUGGAGUACUUGAUCCAGCGCACCUCUUUAAGUUUUUUCAGUUAUCAAUUUAUUUUGUCUUUUUUAGUUGUUCAAUUACUCAUCUUCAUCUAAUUUUUGUGCUUAUUCUAACUGUUUAAGCAGCAAUGUCGAGAGCAAACAUUUUGCUAGACCAUUACCUCAGAUUGUUAAGCAUCCCCAACUUUUGUGCCUCUCAAUGAAAUCUAUUGAGGCAUGCUUGAUUUUCCCAUCUGAUUGGUACACUUUGUGGUUGUUGUUUGUUAGUAUUUAUUAGCGUUAUGAAUCUCUUACCUACACAUUAAUUUGUAGAUUAAUGGGCAUGCACUAUGUAGCACUGAGAAGCAUGAAAGACAGGUAAAGAUAAAUAAGAUGAAUGCCAUUGAGUUUGAAAUCUUGGGGUAGUGGCACAUUUUUUACAACAUGUGUUAUGUGUUAAUGAACUAUGUCUUGACAGUGUAUUUUUCCCCACAUUUGUGAGGAUCAAUUUUGCUUUGUAGGGAAUAAACCGAGGAAGGUCCCUCACAUCUAUCAUGUUUUCAUAAGAAGAUAGGAAGAACUUGCCCUAUUGGCUAUGGAUAAAGUUGAACCACUUUCAAAUACAAGUCGGGAUGACGUAGGAAGAUCCAUCGUCAAAAAUUGUAACACAACCCAUUGAGAAUAUGAGCAGAUUCCUUGGCCUUGAAGGAGCUUCUGGCUUGCGGUUAUUGGACGUAAAAGACAUGACUGGUUUUAAUGUAAUUUUAGCUAAUAUUGUAGUCUUAACUGCUUUUUAUUAAAGUCCUUGAAUUAUUUUUUA